UACGGAAGGGGGCUAGCGUUGUUCGGAAUCACUGGGCGUAAAGCGCACGUAGGCGGAUUGUUAAGUCGGGGGUGAAAUCCUGAGGCUCAACCUCAGAACUGCCUUCGAUACUGGCAAUCUCGAGUCCGGAAGAGGUUGGUGGAACAGCUAGUGUAGAGGUGAAAUUCGUAGAUAUUAGCUAGAACACCAGUGGCGAAGGCGGCCAACUGGUCCGGUACUGACGCUGAGGUGCGAAAGCGUGGGGAGCAAACAGG
rnacentral:rRNA from 1 species